rnacentral:rRNA from 1 species
AUUGAACGCUGGCGGCAGGCCUAACACAUGCAAGUCGAACGAGUGGCGGAUGGGUGAGUAAUGUCUGGGAAACUGCCUGAUGGAGGGGGAUAACUACUGGAAACGGUAGCUAAUACCGCAUAACAUCAGAUGUGCCCAGAUGGGAUUAGCUAGUUGGUGGGGUAAAGGCUCACCAAGGCGACGAUCACUAGCUGGUCUGAGAGGAUGACAAGCCACUCUGGAACUGAGACACGGUCCAGACUCCUACGUGAGGCAGCAGUGGGGAAUAUUGCAAAAUGGGCGCAAGACUGAUGCAGCCAUGCCGCGUGUAUGAAGAAGGCCUUCGGGUUGUAAAGUACUUUCAGCGGGGAGGCGUUACCCGCAGAAGAAGCACCGGCUAACUCCGUGCCAGCAGCCGCGGUAAUUC